rnacentral:rRNA from 1 species
GCUUAUCACCAUCCGAGAUUGAAUAUACCGAAUCUCGUGUGAUCUCGGAUGUCAAGCAAUCUCGGGCUUGGUUAGUACUUGGAUGGGUGACCGCUUGGGAAUACCAAGUGUGAUAAGCA